GGACAACCGCAUAAAUGAUGGUGAUUGGUUAAGGAAGAUUAAAAUUUCAUCGUAAGACAACCGGAUGCAAAGAUGCUCUGAGAAAGUAUCUGCAGUCACAACAAGCACCUGUUGAAGCUGCAGCAGAGAAUCCCUUGGCGUCAACUUCACAAGCUGAAGAAUCUGAAUCAGCAGAAAGUCAAACUCCAACCAUCAGUGCUGUUAGUGAGACACAACUUGUCCUUCAAGAUCCAGAGGAAGGAGCCAGUACCAGUAGACUUAAUAUCCAUCAGUCUGGAGAAACACCAGCCACUUCAGCAGCUGUUUGUGAGCCCAUUGACCCAGCUGAUUGGCUCAACCUGACUGAUGGUGUAAGGACCGAGCUAGUCACCCGAGGGCCUCCUGUUAUCAAUUCGGACUUCACAUUUCCAAAAAAUGAGGAUGGGAGAAGUUUCCACCAUCACUAUUUCUUUAGGCACCUGAUGAAUGGGGAGAAGAUGAAGAGAACAUGGCUCAUAUACUCCACCAAAAAUGAGUUUAUACUGCUUCUGUUUCAAACUGUUCUCACAAAAAAUAUUCAAAUGAGGCAGAGAAGGCUUCAAUAACUGGAAGCUGUAC